UUUUCAGGCAGCAGUUGAGGAGGGUAUUGUUGUUGGGGGUGGUUGUAUGCUGUUGAGACUUGCAUCAAAGGUGGAUUCCAUCAAGGAUACUCUUGAAAAUGAUGAGCAGAAGGUUGGAGUAAAGAUUGUUAGGAGGGCUCUGAGCUAUCCUCUUAAGUUGAUUGCCAAAAAUGUAGGUGUCAAUGGAAGUGUGGCCACUAAGAAGGUUCUUGUCAGCACAAUAUGAAGUAUGGAUACAAUGCUGCAACAGGAAAAUAUGAGGAUCUAAUGGUUGCAAGAAUAAUUGACCCUA